rnacentral:rRNA from 1 species
AACGAACGCUGGCGGCAGGCUUAACACAUGCAAGUCGAACGCCCCGCAGGGGGAGUGGCAGACGGGUGAGUAACGCGUGGGAACGUACCUUUCGCUUCGGAAUAUCCCCGGGAAACUGGGAGCAAUGCCGAAUACGCCGUAUUGGGAAAGAUUUAUCGGCGAAAGAUCGGCCCGCGUUAGAUUAGGUAGUUGGCGGUGUAAUGGACCACCAAGCCUACGAUCUAUAGCUGGUCUGAGAGGGUGAUCAGCCACACUGGGACUGAGACACGGCCCAGACUCCUACGGGAGGCAGCAGUGGGGAAUCUUGGACAAUGGGCGCAAGCCUGAUCCAGCCAUGCCGCGUGAGUGAAGAAGGCCUUAGGGUUGUAAAACUCUUUCGCCGGUGAAGAUAAUGACGGUAACCGGAGAAGAAGCCCCGGCUAACUUCGUGCCAGCCGCCGCUGUAA